rnacentral:rRNA from 1 species
UACAGAGGGUGCGAACGUUGCUCGGAAUUACUGGGCGUAAAGCGCAUGUAGGCGGAUCCAUAAGUCGGGCGUGAAAUCCCCAGGCUCAACCUGGGAACUGCGCUCGAAACUGUAGGUCUUGAGUGUCGGAGAGGAUGGCGGAAUUCCUGGUGUAGAGGUGAAAUUCGUAGAUAUCAGGAGGAACACCGGUGGCGAAGGCGGCCAUCUGGACGACAACUGACGCUGAGGCGACGAAAGCGUGGGGGAGCAAACAGG